AGUUGUGCGAUUAUCUUUCCAUGCAGACUUGUCCUCUUUCUGAGGCUGUCCAGCGCCUGGGGGCAGUAGGACGGGUCCGGGAACUAAGCCCAUCUCAAACACGUCGGAGUGGCUUUCUUUGGGGGCCAAGGCCCGAGCCUGAGGCGGGACUCCAUGAGGCCUCUGGGGCGCGAGCGGUUUGACUAGGGGGGGCGAUCCUUUCGGCGGGGCUGACGCAAGGCGCGGACAGGAAUUCUGACGAUCGGGAACCAUCUUGUCCGGCCUUGAUACGUCUCUGACUACGCUUCCCAGAGGUCUCCUCGGCAAGACUGUACUUCUCGCGGUAAUUCAGCUUCCAACUCACGCGCUGGCGGGACCCUCAGGGCUUUACCAGCAACUACCCCAGUGCCGGGGAGGGUUCUGCUGCUUCGAAAGCUGGUAAGGCCUGAGCUCUACCCUUCUCCAAAAGAAGAGCCAAGAGAAGGUCCUUUUCUACAAAUAUCAGAGCCAUGGCUCAGAUGGAGUCUCACUCUGUUGCUCAUGCUGGAGUGCAGUGGUGUGAUCUCAGCUCACUGCAAUCUACGCCUCCCGGGUUCAAGCAAUUCUUC
rnacentral:lncRNA from 1 species